rnacentral:rRNA from 1 species
GGAUGAACGCUGGCGGCGUGCCUACUACAUGCAAGUCGAGCGAACGGACGAGAAGCUUGCUUCUCUGAUGUUAGCGGCGGACGGGUGAGUAACACGUGGAUAACCUACCUAUAAGACUGGGAUAACUUCGGGAAACCGGAGCUAAUACCGGAUGAUAUUUUGAACCGCAUGGUUCAAAAGUGAAAGACGGUCUUGCUGUCACUUAUAGAUGGAUCCGCGCUGCAUUAGCUAGUUGGUAAGGUAACGGCUUACCAAGGAAACGAUGCAUAGCCGACCUGAGAGGGUGAUCGGCCACACUGGAACUGAGACACGGUCCAGACUCCUACGGGAGGCAGCAGUAGGGAAUCUUCCGCAAUGGGCGAAAGCCUGACGGAGCAACGCCGCGUGAGUGAUGAAGGUCUUCGGAUCGUAAAACUCUGUUAUUAGGGAAGAACAUAUGUGUAAGUAACUGUGCACAUCUUGACGGUACCUAAUCAGAAAGCCACGGCUAACUACGUG